ACAAGUGGAAUGAGGGCGAGUCCCGGCCCACGAUGUUGGGGGACAGUUUAAAGAACCUCCCCUUCAGGGGUCUGGGGAAGGGCCCUGGGCGAGAGAAGCCCACCACAGGACCCUUCUCAAGUACUGCGGAAAGGGCUGGAACUCCCCAAGGAUGCGGAUAAGUGGGUGCGAGGAUGGAGUGGGCUCUGUCAUCUUGCCUUGGUAGCUGAGGGCCUUCCAUGGAACACUGGCAGCAACCGUCAGCAUCUGAGUGGAGGAAGGUCCUAGGCCUGCAGCCCAGCCAGAUGUGGCGGUCACUACCCUAAAGUGGACGGAUUUGACCAGCUUAGGCUCCCCACCUGCCUGGAGCAGUUUGGCCCUCCUCCAGCCACCCGCGUCCCAAGGGCUCUGAACUGGGAGCUUCCCUGCAGCGGAGGGAUAAAAACUGAAGUCACUGCCAGUCUGCAAGCUGGUUCCCCUUGGAUAUUUUACCAUGGCUUGAAUCUCUUAGCCUGAAAUGCGAUAUAUACUGUUGUAAUCCAAGUUCCCCUGUUCACUGCUGUUCAACUCCAGCGCUGCUACUGAAGGACGGAGCUCAGUUCCUAGCUACCCACGUUUAUACUUGCAGAGUCCUCCUCGACUCUGCUCUCCGCGAGUAUUCUCCACGUCCAUGCCAUUAACGGGAUGGGCCAUUUUGAACACACUUGGGUUCAGUUGAAAGAGCUGGAGACAACGUCUUUUGCUCUCAGAGAAUAGGGAUCAGCUUUAGAGGCGCCAACCCACCGAGUGUUGUGCUUCAUGGGUCAUGGAUGUCAACACUUCCUACUCUGAAGCCGGUCAUCACCUCUGAGACCUGGUCAGGUCCCCCCGAACGUGUACCAUACAUCUCCUUUAUCACAUUAAAUGUGGCAGAGCUUG